rnacentral:SRP_RNA from 1 species
GCUGGGCGUGGCGGUGGGUGCCUGUAAUCCCAGCUACUCGGGAGGCUGAGGCGGGAGAAUCACUUGAACCCAGGAAGCAGAGGUUGCAGUGAGCCGAGAUCGUGCCACAGGAACUCCAGCCUGGGUGACAGAGUGAGACUCCGUCUCAA